rnacentral:RNase_P_RNA from 2 species
CCGGCGGGUCGGGCGGCCGCCCCGCACCUGCUUUGUAUUCUUGUUAGAAUUGAAACAGAUUUUAAGAGAAUAUGGAGCAGGUGCGGGGAGGAAAGUCCGGGCAGGACAGGGCGCGGUGAUGGCUAACGGCCACCGUAUUUGAGAUUUCAGAUUUGAAAUUUCAGAUAAAGGGAAAGUGCCACAGAAAAUACACAGCCCCGCACCUACUUGGUAUUCUUUUUAGAAUUGAAACAGAUUUUAAGAGAAUAUGGAGUAGGUGUGGGGUAAUGGUGAAAAGGUGCGGUAAGAGCGCACCGCGGUUUUGGCGACAGAACCGGCAGGGUAAACCCCACCGCCUGCAAGACCAAGUAAGCCGGUAUGCUUUGCCCGAGCAUCUGAGAUUUCAAAUCUGAGAUUUGAGAUUUCACAGCCGGCGGGUAGGUCGCUUGAGCCUGUCAGCAAUGGCAGGCCUUAGAGAAAUGGUCGCAUCCCGCACCUACUUGGUAUUCUUUUUAGAAUUGAAACAGAUUUUAAGAGAAUAUGGAGUAGGUGCGGGAACAGAACCCGGCUUAUAGACCCGCCAGGCAA